rnacentral:rRNA from 1 species
CCUACGGGAGGCAGCAGUGGGGAAUUUUGCGCAAUGGGGGCAACCCUGACGCAGCAACGCCGCGUGAGUGAUGAAGGCCUUCGGGUCGUAAAGCUCUGUCAGAGGGGAAGAAAUGUAGGUGGUGAACAACCAUUCUGUUUGACGGUACCCUCAAAGGAAGCACCGGCUAACUCCGUGCCAGCAGCCGCGGUAAUACGGAGGGUGCGAGCGUUGUUCGGAAUUAUUGGGCGUAAAGCGCGUGUAGGCGGUUUGGUAAGUCUGAUGUAAAAGCCCCGGGCACAACCUGGAAAGUGCAUUGGAUACUGGCAGACUUGAGUACGGGAGAGGAGAGUGAAAUUCCCAGUGUAGGAGUAAAAUCCGUAGAUAUUGGGAGGAACACCGGUGGCGAGGGCGGCUCUCUGGACCGAUACUGACGCUGAGGGGCGAAAGCGGGGGGAGCAAACGGGAUUAGAUACCCCUGUAGU